rnacentral:rRNA from 1 species
GUUAGGAAUAUUGGACAAUGGACGCAAGUCUGAUCCAGCCAUGCCGCGUGAGUGAUGAAGGUCUUCGGAUUGUAAAGCACUUUAAGUUGGGAGGAAGGGUAGUAACCUAAUACGUUGCUACUUUGACGUUACCGACAGAAUAAGCACCGGCUAACUUCGUGCCAGCAGCCGCGGUAAUACGAAGGGUGCAAGCGUUAAUCGGAAUUACUGGGCGUAAAGCGCGCGUAGGUGGUUCAGUAAGUUGGAAGUGAAAUCCCCGGGCUCAACCUGGGAACUGCUUUCAAAACUGCUGAGCUAGAGUACGGUAGAGGGUGGUGGAAUUUCCUGUGUAGCGGUGAAAUGCGUAGAUAUAGGAAGGAACACCAGUGGCGAAGGCGACCACCUGGACUGAUACUGACACUGAGGUGCGAAAGCGUGGGGAGCAAACAGGAUUAGAAACCCGGGUAGUCC